UACAGGGGGGGCAAGCGUUGUUCGGAAUUACUGGGCGUAAAGGGUUCGUAGGUGGCUCACUAAGUCACACGUGAAAUCCCUCAGCUUAACUGGGGAACUGCGUGUGAAACUGGAGAGCUUGAGGGUAGGAGAGGAAUGCGGAAUUCCAGGUGUAGCGGUGAAAUGCGUAGAUAUCUGGAGGAAACCGGUGGCGAAGGCGGCAUUCUGGACUAUUUCUGACACUGAUGAACGAAAGCCAGGGGAGCAAACGGG
rnacentral:rRNA from 1 species